GGUGUUUCCCUGAGAUGGAAAACCUUUAAAGAGAACAAAAGAAAAGGAAAAGGAGAUGAGACCCUGAAAACUCCCAACGUGAAAACAAAGCGGCUGGACAGCAAGAAGUACAGCGACCUGAUAGUGCUGGGUUUGCCUUGGAACAGCACAGAAGAUCUUGCUCCUCAGUCAACAUGGCACAGAUUUUCAACAGUCCCAAUGCGACACACAUGGCGUUGUCACUAAGCUAGAAUACUGGGAGCUACUACCCCCCAACCUCACCCUAAGUGCUGCGGUUGUGGUACUAAAAGGCCAUCGUACAGGCUACGACAGGGCAGUUUCCCAAAAAUAAUGCUAGAACGCAGAAACCAUCAAUCCUCGCCUAAAUGUGCAAAUGUGCAACACUAUAUGUCGCUAGCAACGAGCCCCUGUAGCCACUUUCAUUGAUGACCGGACAUUCUAGCAGUCUUCGUGUUAAGGACACAGCUUGUCUGCAAAAAAAUUAGAGAAUGUGGAAUGAUGAUGAAGAGCGAUAUACUGAAUGUAAGAGGAAUACUGGUACAACCUAAUAAUGUACUCAAGUCUUUUGGAUAUUGAGAAUUUAUGCGCUUCACGGGUCACAGAUACGAGUCGGGUGUAAUUGGAUUAAAUAAGUUUUUUUCAGUUAUUACAGUGGAACAUUUUAUUCCAAUAACUUGAGAGAGCACCGAAGUUCAGGAUGCUCAUUCUUAAUUCCAUAAAUGUUCAAUUGAAUAAGAUGAAAUGUGGUUCUGUGUGAAAAAUUUGUCAACCUCUACAGUUAUUAUUUAACGUCCAAAUAGAAUAUGUAGUUGCUUUAUCCACAUUCCAAAUGCAGAUAGGUUUUCGCUCACAAAACACCACCACUUAUGGUCGUCUGUGUUUUAUUUCAAUCCUAGUGAUGUAGUCAAUUUUCAAAUUUGUGCUGUUGAUGAUGUGGAGUUGUUCGUCAGUAUAGCGUUUGAGAAAAUCAUAAUCCGCACACUAACCUCAACUAACCCUCACAUCUUUGUAAAAUCUUACUUCAUGUAAAUGUUUUUACAUGAAGAGAUUUUACAUUGAUGGCUGGUGCAAGAUCUAUAAUGAAAUAUUUUACGUUUGUGAAAAUAUUUCAUUAUAUGUCUUAUGCAGUCUGCUCCUCGUGAGGGAUGGCUGGAUGCAUUCAGGCAUCGCUCAAGAUAGAGGAUCGCACAUUACUUAUAUCACUAGUAUUAUGAUUUUCUCAAGGGUUAUAGUUGACAAAUAUAUCCAGUUCAUCACAUAUGCACCCUUUUCUCCGGACCCCAAAAGUCAUAUUGAAAUUUACAUGGACGGUCAUACAGUGAAAUAUGUCGAAGCAAGCUUGCUUUAUUCAUUACUUGUAUCAUACAGGUAGUUGCGAUUUCAGGGCAAAAUUACAUUUGAGAAACUUCUGUUUUAAACAGUUAUAUGUCAAAGUUUAGUUUAAAUCAUUGAGGUGUCUGGGUAAUAAACAUAUUACCUGAACUUUUUAUAUAUUUUACCAUAUAGAAGAACUAUAUUCUAGUUUUGAUGGAUGCUUUCAGUUGUAAAGGGAUCGAUUUUAUUUAUUUAUGACUUAUUAAUAUAAGUCUCAGUUUAAUUGUGUUAAGACUCUAGUAAAUGUGUCUUAAUUGUCUUUAGUACCUCUUUCAGUAGGAAUAACGUACUUUGUUAAAUUCUUGUGCUUCAUCUUGUGUACCAAUAUAGUGUAUGUAGAGAAAAGUUUGUAGUCACGAGAGAAAAUACAGUUGCGCCAUGUUGUCUAAAACGGGAAGAUAUUCUUGAACUGUAAUGCCAAUGAAAAACUGAACUGAUGAUAUUAAAAAGACUGAAGUAUCCGGGCGUGGGCACUUUCCCGGCAUUCCCCACGAAGGGUUUAGACGGGUUUUUCCCCACGGCCCGAGAGAAUUGGGUUCUACCAUUUAUUGAUUCAUUGCGUU